rnacentral:tRNA from 1 species
GCCUGGGUGGCUCAGUCAGUUGAGCGACCAACUUUGGCUCAGGUCAUGAGCUCGCAGUUCAUGGGUUCGAGCCCCAUGUCAGGCU